rnacentral:rRNA from 1 species
GAUGAACGCUGGCGGCGUGCCUAAUACAUGCAAGUCGAGCGAACAGACGAGGAGCUUGCUCCUCUGACGUUAGCGGCGGACGGGUGAGUAACACGUGGAUAACCUACCUAUAAGACUGGGAUAACUUCGGGAAACCGGAGCUAAUACCGGAUAAUAUAUUGAACCGCAUGGUUCAAUAGUGAAAGACGGUUUUGCUGUCACUUAUAGAUGGAUCCGCGCCGCAUUAGCUAGUUGGUAAGGUAACGGCUUACCAAGGCGACGAUGCGUAGCCGACCUGAGAGUGUGAUCGGCCACACUGGAACUGAGACACGGUCCAGACUCCUACGGGAGGCAGCAGUAGGGCAUCUUCCGCACUGGGCGAAAGCCUGACGGAGCAACGCCGCGUGAGUGAUGAAGGUCUUCGGAUCGUAAAACUCUGUUAUUAGGGAAGAACAAAUGUGUAAGUAACUAUGCACGUCUUGACGGUACCUAAUCAGAAAGCCACGGCUAACUACGUG